rnacentral:rRNA from 1 species
GGCUUAUCUCCCCCAAGAGUCCACAUCGACGGGGAGGUUUGGCACCUCGAUGUCGGCUCAUCGCAUCCUGGGGCUGUAGUCGGUCCCAAGGGUUGGGCUGUUCGCCCAUUAAAGCGGUACGCGAGCUGGGUUCAGAACGUCGUGAGACAGUUCGGUCCCUAUCCGUCGUGGGCGUAGGAAAUUUGAGAGGAGCUGUCCUUAGUACGAGAGGACCGGGAUGGACGCACCGCUGGUGUACCAGUUGUUCUGCCAAGGGCAUAGCUGGGUAGCUAUGUGCGGAAGGGAUAAGUGCUGAAAGCAUCUAAGCAUGAAGCCCCCCUCAAGAUGAGAUUUCCCAUAGCGUAAGCUAGUAAGAUCCCUGAAAGAUGAUCAGGUUGAUAGGUUCGAGGUGGAAGCAUGGUGACAUGUGGAGCUGACGAAUACUAAUAGAUCGAGGACUUAACCAUAUAA